AGUCCUUCAGCCACCCACAGAAGACUGAUUGCACCUGUCUGUUUUAUGCCUCACUUUCCAGGAGCUGGUUUUUAAUGAGUCGUCGCAUGGUUGAAUUGGUGGGUGAGGCCCAUCAGUGGGCAUUAGGUCUUGUUUCCUUGCCUUCUCCACAACAGCAGAAAGCGCCAGCUCGGGAAGAGGGAACCCAUAAAUAGCUGGAGGGUGAAUAGGAUCUGGAGCUUCUGGAUGGCCAGGCUGCAUGCAGGACAGAGCCUGUCUUUGAAGGUGGCCUUUGUGUGGCUGAUGUCAAGGUGGCUGAUCGUGGGUCAGUAAAAGGCAGCUCUGGAUGGUCCUGGCAGGAAGCAGCCCCAGGCCCAGCUGCAGGAGGCCUAUUGUCUCCACCUCCUCUGGUUGUUAACACUACAGGAAAGGAAGGGUGUUAUCUCUUUCUGCCCUUCCCCCUUUCAUCGCUGGGAAUGUUUCCCAUCCCUCCUCCACCCCAGGCUCAGCCACAGCAAAAGACCAUGACUCAUUCUCAUAGGUUCAGGAUGCUCAGCUGUCAUUGUGCCUGAGGACGAAGGAUAUUAACCAUGGGCUCUUCUGAGUGGGUGACUGGGGAACAGGAGGGUGGGAGGCCAGGGGACAGGGUUUGGAGCUCAGCUAGCCUGGCUGCUGUCACAAAGCCCUCCAAGCCUCUCCUCCUCCCCUCCCAGAAGCAAACCCAUCCAGAGGGGGGGAGGCUGCCGCUUCUUUCCCAUGGGAGGUUGCACCAGGGAAGCCUCCUGCUGGAUUUUAAACACAAGCCAUCUCCUACACACCACGUGCUUUGCCGCCUCAUGACCAUUGUUUUACUAAUCAACCAGUCCACUUUGGUACCCUAAAGACAACAUCUCCUUGUGCUCUGUGUCCUGGUGCUAUUAACAUAUACGCCCUGCCCUCACUCUCCUAUUAUACGGGAGCCAGUUGGGCUGAAUACAAGCAGCGGCCUGUAGAUGAGCAAGGCAACGGGUCCUUGCUUUUUCUUUUGCUGUAAAGUUUGCCCAGUUCUCGUGAUUUUAAAAUCAAUAAAUCUGUUAAUCUAUAAGGUG